GUGCUUGCUUCGACAGCACAUAUACAAAAAUUGGAACAAUACGGAGAAGGUUAGCAUGGCCCCUACACAAGGAUGACACGCAAAUUCGUGAAGAGUUCCAUAUUUUU
rnacentral:snRNA from 1 species